rnacentral:rRNA from 1 species
AAUAGAUACCCAGGUAGUCCACGCCGUAAACGAUGGAUACUAGCUGUUCGGUCGCAAGAUUGAGUGGCUAAGCGAAAGUGAUAAGUAUCCCACCUGGGGAGUACGAACGCAAGUUUGAAACUCAAAGGAAUUGACGGGGGCCCGCACAAGCGGUGGAGCAUGUGGUUUAAUUCGAUGAUACGCGAGGAACCUUACCAAGGCUUAAAUGUAUAUUGACAGGACUGGAAACAGUUUUUCUUCGGACAAUUUACAAGGUGCUGCAUGGUUGUCGUCAGCUCGUGCCGUGAGGUGUCAGGUUAAGUCCUAUAACGAGCGCAACCCCUGUUGUUAGUUGCCAGCGAGUCAAGUCGGGAACUCUAACAAGACUGCCAGUGUAAACUGUGAGGAAGGUGGGGAUGACGUCAAAUCAUCACGGCCCUUACGCCUUGGGCUACACACGUGCUACAAUGGCCGGUACAGAGAGCAGCCACCGCGCGAGCAGGAGCGAAUCUAUAAAACCGGUCACAGUUCGGAUCGGAGU